AAACUAGCGCAUCACUCGAAGGUGGGUUAUUGUAUGAGUCAAAUGUACAACUUACGAAUGUUGUAUAAGUCAAUUUGCCAAUUGCCAUCUUAAAACAUCAGCUGCAAUUCACGACAUGAAGAAGGCAGUCUCUGCAGAGCAUAUAGGCUAAUGGAGAUGCAGUUAUUUCCAGCAUUCUUUAUUUACCAUUCAUUCAUUCAUUAUGUGAUGUCACUGAGCCAACAGACAUCAGAUGCCUUUGUGUUCGGGGAAAAUUGGGGGAUGAGUCUUCUGCCUUCUUCAAGACCUGCACCGAUGCGGCUUAUAAGGAGGUGUACAGUCAAACUCCACUGGGAAUCCUCUGCCGGAGAAAAUCCUCAGCUCAACCUAUCCAGCAUGGCAAUCGUCUUGUAGGGGAAUGUGGUGAUGGAUGGACCGGCUAACCUGCCUCAGGCCUUCUGUGUCCUGUUCAUACUCAUUUAUGCCCUGCAAAUGGAGUACCCAAAGUGCAUGAAAAACACUUUCCACUUUGUUCAGCAGGUGAUAUUAAAACUUGGUAAAGUUGAGCUGGCACCCAAAAUUCUGACUUUGAAAAAUCAGCUUACAUUGUAAAACGGGGUUCUGAAAAGUUGGCUACUGUUACAUAUGGCAAGUAUUUAGGCUUCCAUAUUGCAUUUUGUUGUUGUUGCAUGUUUGCACUGUUUGACCUAUUAAGCUUGUUGGCAUUUCCAUUUGUGUUUUAUUCUAUAAACUACUGACAACAUCUCUCCCAAAAGUCAUUUAGAGGAUUUAUUUGCAGAAAAUUACAACUGGUCAGAAUAAUAGAGAAAAUGCUGUGUUUUCAAACCUCAAAUAAUGCAAAGAAAACAAGUUCUUCAUUAUUAAACAACACAAUACUAAUGUUUGAACUUAGGAAGAGUUCAGAAAUCAAUAUUUGGUGGAAUAACCCAGAUGUUUCAAUAACAGCUUUCAAUGCGUCUUGGUUGCUCGCCACCAGUCUGUCACAUUGUUGCUGGGUGACUUUAUGUAUCUCCUGGCACACAAACUCAAGCAGCUCGGCUUUGUUUGAUGGCUUGUGACCAUCCAUCUUCCUCUGGAUCACAUCCAGAGGUUUUCAGUGGGGUUCCAACGGUUCCAUGACAGGGUCUUGAUCUGGUCUUCCUCCAUUCACACCUGAAUUGAGCUGAGGGUGGGUUUAUCCAGCAGGACAAUGCUCCAUGCCCCACAGCCAGGUCAAUCCAGAUGUGAUCCAGAGGAAUAUGAAUGGUCACAAGUCAUCACACAAAGCCAAGCUGCUUGAUUUUUGUGUGCCAGGAGUGGCUUAAUAAGUGACCCAACAGCAAUGUGAAAGGUGUUGCAGAGCAGCCAAGACGCAUGAAAGCUGUGCUUGAAAAUCUGGGUUAUUCCACCAAUUAUUGAUUCCUGAGCCCUUCCUAUGUUAAAACAUUAGUAUUGUGUUGUUGAAAAAUGAAUUUUAAAAAUUGUUUUCUUUGCACUAUUCUAGGUCUGAAAACACCAUAUUUUUUGGUUACUUUGAACAUUUGGUAUUUUUUGUAAAUAAAUGCUCUAAAUGAGAAUAUUUGGAGUUUGGGAUAAAUGUUGUCAGUCAUUAAUUUAUAGAAUAAAACACAAAUGUUAAUCCAGUUUUUACCAAUAGUAAAACGAGAGAAACUGAUAAUUUUACAGAGGUCUCUUAAUUUUUUCAGAGCUCUACAUAAUAAAUAUAUAGAUCUAUAUAUCUAUUUUUAUAGAUAUAUAUUAUAUAUAUAUAGAGAGAUUGCUAUUGUUUCAUGUGAAAAAUGUUCUCAGGAAAAUGUAUGGUACAAUAUUUUUGCCACAGUUUGUAUAGGAAGCUCAAUUUCAUUGUAUCCAAAUGAAACACUCAAGUUUUAAUAAAAGGUAACACUUUA